GCUAGAGUGGAAGAAAAUGAGUAUUUUGAAGAAGCAGAAGGCAUACUGUAUGGUGCAGGCAUCGUAGAAUAAGACCAACCGUUCUCAAAUUUCGAUCUCCGCCAACAGCAUACCUACUUUUUAAGGGUUCACGUUUGUCAGCCAUUUUGAAUGUCAAAAUAUGUUAAAAACAAUAAAAAAAAAUUGUUUUCUCGUA